rnacentral:rRNA from 1 species
UACAGAGGGUGCAAGCGUUAAUCGGAAUUACUGGGCGUAAAGCGUGCGUAGACGGUUAUGUAAGUCGGGUGUGAAAGCCCCGGGCUCAACCUGGGAACUGCAUUGGAAACUAACGGGCUCGAGUGUGGCAGAGGGGGGUGGAAUUCCACGUGUAGCAGUGAAAUGCGUAGAGAUGUGGAGGAACACCGAUGGCGAAGGCAGCCCCCUGGGCUAACACUGACGCUCAGGCACGAAAGCGUGGGGAGCAAACAGG